CACCAACCUCCUUCCUCUUUAAAGUCUCAUUGAGAGAGGAAUGUCUACAGCAUCCUUGGUAACACAUUACAGUGUUUCACAACCCUCCUAGCCAGGAAGCUGUUCUUAAUGUUUAACCUUAAUCCCUCCCGCUGAAAUUUAAGGCCCUUUUCUCUUGUUGAGUGCAAAUGGAGAACAGCUGCUCACGCUCGUCGUCUGACAUCAGCUAUUUCUCAGGAUGACCCUGCGAGACAGGCCAGGGUCAUUAGACCCAAUUUGGUUCUCAGCAAAUAUGUGUUUAUUCCUGCAUGCGUGGGCCACAGGCUGGUUUCUUGGGUGCAAUGAAUAGCUGCAGGUUUAUUAGGGUGUCUUUUUAGAUGGAUGUAUGUUUCCCGAUGUCUAUAGAACACUCCGGACCCCGGAGAGUGAAGACUCUGCCUGUCGGACUUGCUUUGAGAAGAUCCUUCUCCACCUCCCCAUGGCAGAAGUUGCUUCACAGAGGGGAACAGUUUUAUGGAUGUGGCUGAGACCUUAAACUUGAGGCAACCCAUCUGAGGUGGCAUCCAGAGGAGACUGGCUGGCCCCUCCUUCACCUUGGAUGUAGUGCUGUUUCUAGGAUCUCUUUUCAAUCAGCAAAACAGGGGAUGUUCCAAGAGGGUGUGGAUUCCCUGCCAUCCCACAUGGUCAAGUGGAGGGGACGGGAAAAAGCUAUGAAGGGUUUGUGACCACACAGACUCUCCUGGCCCCCUGUCCUUUUGGAAAGAAGACAGGGAUGAAAUAUAAUCAAGCAAUUAACCACCCCCAUCAUCACCAAGAACAACAGUAUCAACAAGAAGAACAGGGACAACAAAACCCACGGAUGAAACAUUCCUUUCUCAGCUCAGAUCUUAUCUGGUGCGUUCUCUCUCUGCUCUGUCUUGGUGUGUGGUUUAGAGAAACAUGGACAACGCUGUUUGGAAGAACAGGGUCGAGCUGUUCCUGAUGUUUAUCGGAGACUGGGAUCAAAGCUAUCCAGGUCAUAAAUCUCUCUCUGUGGCUGUUGGGCCCCAGGGCAGCUGAAGAGGGUUGACAGCCCUUUGGACCUCAAAGGAAAAAAUGUGCUCUACUCCACCCACUCCCAGCUCUGCCAAGAAGCUGUCCUCUGAGAAGCCAUGGCUGGGCCGUUCCAUUCUGGGGAGCUGCUGAAAAGAGCUGGGAGGCCGAGAAGAACUUGCGUGUGCUGGGGGAGAGGAAGCCUGGCCUUGAGGGAGGGGUGCAGGUGUGGCUCCUCUGUGUGUGGGGGCUGGGGGACCUUGUGUGCCUUUUCCUUGUGGCUGUGAAAUGCUUUAUGAGUACUUCCAUAGGAGGAUGGACAGGGAGUCGGGGAGAUAAACUCAGCCACAAGGCCCCAGGGCCUCAGGAAACUUGCACCCAACCCUCUCAUUUUACAGAAGAAAACUGUGCCUGGAAGGUUGAAGGGUUUGUUCCCAGUCACACAACCAGGGAUCCUUAGGACAGCCAGACCAGGAAACCAUUUCCAAACUGCCAAGCCAUGGCAGAGUAUCAAGACCUCAGGAACCAUCGAGACACCAUGGAAGCAUUGGGAAAAGCCUCCUUAGCUUUUGAAGCUCCUCAUUGUUCUUGAGUGUGCAUGGAGCCCAUGACUGCGGGGUUUUGUAGACACCUCAGGGAUUACAUGACUGGUACCCCUGACAAAGUCAAGGCUGCUGGACAAAAUGAGUCCGAGGAUUUCAGGGGCAGCUGGGCGCAGGAGCUGGUGGGCUGUUGGGAGUGCCCCUUUACUGGGCAGGCUUCCUUCCUCCUGGUGAUGGGGGGUUCCUCAGCACAAAAGUGAAGGGGUGGAGGGGCUGGAGGAGCAGGAAUCUCUCUUGUUGAUAGGUAUGAGGCCUUGAAGUCCUUUUCUUUGUCCCAGGAUUCAUGGACGCUUCGGGGCUGAUCUUUGAGUUUUCAAGCAUGGGGUGCAGAGACGUUUAGGUAAACUCUUACCGUCCUCUCUCUUCGUCAGGGCUUCCCAGGAAUCAACAAUGCCCAAGAAGGAAGGGAUUGUAGAAAUAGCUUAACCCUUUCAUUUACCAACGUGGAAAUUGAAGCCCAGGGAAGGGAAGGGACCGGUCGUGGAAGGGAGAGCCAUCAGCAGAAAGAGACCCUGAGAUCUUCGCCUGGGAUUCCCAGGAAGUCCAGCCCGAGCUGAUUCACAGAACAAAUGCAUGCAAACCUUGCUAUCAAUAAAUUACACAUGCACUUACGUAAAACACAUAAAAAUAUAUGGCCUUGGUUUUGGAACAAUACCCCACAGAUAAAAGUAGCUUUAAAUCCUCCAUAAAAUGAUAAAGUCUAGUCCUAAACUCCUAGCAGUUCUGCGGGUGAUCACAGGCGGCAGGAGCCGCUCAAACUUUAAUGGCUUGGUAUCUCCACAUGUAGACAGGAGGCAGAAAACCAUCGGGGAUGAAGUCGUGGGCUCUAGAAUUGCAAAGACGUGGGUUCCAGGCCAGGCUUGGCCCUUGCUAACUGUUGACCUUGAGCAAAUUACCCAACCUGUUCCUUAUUUGUUUCUGCCUCAUAGGUAGUUGUGCAGAUGAAAUGAUAUCAGUUCUCAGAACAGUGCUGGGGACAGAGUACACUCUAUGCUCAAUACAUAUUCACUUUUAGAGAUAUCUUGGGAUUCUCAGUCUAAGUGACAUUCAAAAGUACCUCACUGGGAGGCAAGACCAAGGUGGAGCCUCCUCUUGGAUGGGAUGUGGGCCUAUUUUAUUUUACUUCUUUAUUUUUGUAGGUGCAUGCCACCACACUUGCUA
rnacentral:lncRNA from 1 species